CACCUUGCUUUGUCUCAGAAACCAAGAGGGUUGCUGAUCCAAGACUGCAUCCUUGAUCGUCAUUGUGUUGAUUUCGUGAAGAUUAGUCUUCCAGCACUGGAAAAAGCAACAACAGCUGAAAAAUGAGGCCUCUCAAAUUGCUUCUAUGCUGGCACAUUUACAAAAACAAAAAGGGGAAAAAUGUAGAGAAUCAGAAGCAAUGACUGCUGGCGUGCUUGCAAAGUGCUCGCAAAUGAGAUGUUCUGUGGUCCUUGGUAGAGUUUGCCUGCAAACAGGAUGUUCUGCCAAGAGGUAUAAAAUGUUCUGAGAAAAAGACACUACUUGCAAACAAGGAUAUUUAUCUAUCCUUGAAAAAGGGCAAAGUUCAAAAUGUUUCUGCCCAAAGUAUAUUAAGAAAUUAUUAAAAGAAUACCCAUUCCCUAAGCAAAAAGACCCUAAUCAUUGCUGCUGGAAGAGUGCCUUCUUUGUCCUGAAACCACAUAAAAAGGCUUGCUAAAUUCAAUAAGGGAGCUACCAUGGAGAUAACUUCACUGACCUUUACCAAUGCCAGUCACUGUAAUCUCACUAGAUGUGAAUUCCUAAAGUCCCCUUCUUGUAUAACUCCCCCUUUUUACCUACUGUUAUCCAAUGAUUCUUCCUUU